AGACAAUUGCAAAACAGAAUCAAUUAGACGCCUAUAUGCCCGAUAGAAACACAUGUCAGGGGUAGGCACUACCCCUGCAGAUAUAAGUACGAGUGUGCAAUUAUUCAUAUUUGCGCAGAUGAAUAAAUUUAAGAGGCUUGGUGGCGCUGUAAUAGAACACCUUGAAGGACUGCCAACAUAAAGCACAAGCAAAAAAAUAUUCUUAUAAUUGUACUUGUAAGUAUACUUAUAGAUUGAUUAACGAUAUUAUUUUUUGAUGAUAAGUACAGCCCAUUCACAUUUUGGUUUCGUUCGGUAAAAACGUCACUUUUAUCCUCAAAAUUAGUUGAUUACUGCAAUGACAAGUUCAUAAUCCUGUGAUUGCUACUGGAGCUGAAUGGAAAGAUCUUUAGAAAUCAUCCUGAAGCCAACGGAAUGUGAAAGAAGACCACCUAAUGCACUCUCUUCGUUUGCAUUUAGUUCCGCCAAGAUGGUUAUGGUUAACGUGCAGUUCAUGAGUUUAAAGCAAAGCAUAUAAGGCUGUACAAUUUAUGGGCAUUCUGCGCCGAGUCAUUUGGAUACGGGCAGAUGAAUUAAUACUCUCGACGAGAAUGGCAAAUGUUGCAUGACUGUCGAGUAGCCGCCAGCUGAGGAAAUAUCUGCACUUCCUGCAGCUAUUGCCCAGCUCCCGCGCCUGUUGCAAUUACUCAUAAUAUCGUUUAAAUUAUCGGCACUCACAUUGGCCGGACUUUGUUGUACGUGUUGUUUUGUUGUUUUCUAGUUUGUGCGCUUGUAGGUUUUGUACCCCUGCUGAUGAGGUUGUUGUGGCUCUUGUUUUAGCUGUUGCAGUUUCAACCCAGAAGCGUUUUACCAUCAGAGAGAUCCAGAGGUGCAGUGAAGCCACCUUCACAUCACGAGCACGCAAUCGCGGUGCCGCCAUACGAUGUCAGCCACAUGCAAUGCGAAUAGCAGAAGGCACCACAUGUGGCCACUUGGGCUCAGGGCUCGGUGCAGAUCUGCGCAUGUGAAUAUGUGAAUCCUUGGGACUAGAUCAGAAAGACAGCAGCGAUCCAUUGGUUCUGAGUUUGGUUCUACGAGACACCAAUAAGGGGUCUUCUAUACAGUAUUUAUUCAAAUCGAACUUCUUGAAUAACGAUAAUAAAAUACCUAACCAAAAUGUUAGAUAACCCAACUUAAAUUGGUCAACGUACACGUCAAAUUAAUACGAGCAUUCACAAGCCUGGAUAUCCAUUAUACCGUUUAUCUGUAUGACUCAGUUGGCCAGUUGUCAAAAUCAGAAGACCAAACACGGAUUCGAAUUAGGCACACGUUUGGAAAUCUGGACAACAUACCUUAAACCUCUACCUCCAGCUCUCGACUUGCAUGAAUUACGCAGAGCUCUAAGCUAAUCUUCUCGACGAUGCUUCCUGCGCUGCAGUGACGCUGGCCUGACAAUGGGGAGCAACGGAAGGAAAGCUAUUCAGAAGGAUUCUUUAAUACGAGUCUGUAUAUUUUUCAGCACAGAGUCCUAUCAAUGGCCAGCUACAACAAUGGUAACAACGAUGAUUGCCCAGUGUGUGGUCAGGCGCCAAGACGAAUCCGUUCCAGCACACCCACUUUGAGAUUUCAGAGAAAAAGUGUGUUUAUUUAGAAUAUGAAAAACCGAAAGUAAUCGAUUUAAUAAACUGUCAUCAGCAUGCGA